CUGGAAGGGCAAUGCUUCAGUCACGCACCAGACAUCAUCGCCAUGGAACAGCGGAUUGACACGCAGCCGUCUUUCCACCGUAAACCAUCUCUCAUACGGGCAAACCUCAUGUGCAAACAAACGAAUGACGCCUCUUUUUCAGUUCCGCUGCCGUUGGAUAACACAUUUUUAUGUUGCAAACAUGUGCUGUACGUACGUCUUCGCCAGUGUCUUCAAGGGGUAUUUUAUAGUUCAACGGACCCAGCUGCUUGAUAAUGCGGUAGGGACCUCUCCAUUUUUGGGCUAGUUUUGCGCUAAAUUUACGCUGUGCAUUAGACUGUGGAAAAUUACGCAACCAUACUCGAUCCUUGCAUUUGAAUGUUACAUCUCUCCUAUUUUUGUUAUAGUUCCUCAAUUGUCUAAUUUUGGCUCUCUUGCUGUUUUCCUUCGCUUGAGUUUGCAGAUGAUGAAGAUUAUGAACUACAUCAUACGAGGCAGCGUCUGGGGUUAGAUUAGGCCCAGAGAGUAUUUUGUCCAUUGGACUUUGGAGUUUCCUACCCAGCUGGAGUUCGGCUGGGGUUAAUCCAGUGGUCUCUUGAACGGCUGAAUUAAGGGCGAAUCUGAAUUCUGAUGAAACAAACUGAGUGCCUCUGUCUGAGAGAACGAAGUCUGGUACGCCCCAACGUGUCAGGAUGUCUUUUCUGAAGAUGGAGGCAAUAUUCUUCGCUGUGGCACUCCGAAUGGGAAACAACUCCACCCAUCGAGAAUAAUAAUCAACAAAGACCAGCAGGUAUUCAUUUUGAGUUGUGCUACGUGGCAACGGACCCAUGAGGUCGACUCCCAGCAUUUGGUUUGGGCGGCUUGUGGUGAUUUGCUGUAGCUUUCCCGCAGGCUUCCUGUUAUCACUUUUCAGAGUUUGACAUUUAACACAGGUCCUCACAUGCUGUUUCACCGCUGACCACAUGCCUGGCCAAAAUGCUACUUCCUGAAGUCGCUUAUAGGUCUUGUAGAUUCCUCCAUGGCCACAGAUGGGAGUGGAGUGAUAGUACUGGAGAAGGGUGGAUCUGAGACUGCUGGGAAUGUAGAUUCUGUAAUGCAGUUGGUUAUUUGUCAGGACAACAUCUGAUACAGGCAGUGCUGGGUCUUUUCCGCUGGUGUACAAGUUACAUCCUGGGGUAACCGAAGAUCUGAAUAGAGCAUCUGGAGCUACAUUUAGCUUCCCUUUUCGGUACUCAAUAACAAAAUCAAAUUUUUGCAAUC